rnacentral:rRNA from 1 species
ACUCUAAGCGGUGGAUCACUCGGCUCAUGGGUCGAUGAAGAACGCAGCAAACUGUGCGUCAUCGUGUGAACUGCAGGACACAUGAACAUCGACAUUUUGAACGCAUAUCGCAGUCCAUGCUGUUAUGUACUUUAAUUAAUUUAUAUAGUGCUGCUUGGACUACAUAUGGUUGAGGGUUGUAAGACUAUGCUAAUUAAGUUGCUUAUAAAUUUUUAUAAGCAUAUGGUAUAUUAUUGGAUAAAUAUAAUAAUUUUUAUUCAUAAUAUUAAAAAAUAAAUGAAAAACAUUAUCUCACAUUUGAAUGUGAAAAACGAAGAGAAAUAUUUUCUUUUUCAAUCAAAUAAUACUGAGAAAUGGUCUAGCAUAAAAAAUUGAAAUAUUUUUCAUCUAGAAUUGUCUCUUAUUAAUGAUUCGGAAAUAGAAAAAAUCUUGGUUAUGUUAUUAUUCUUCGUUGGUUCGUUAAAAAUGGAUAAAUAAAAACUUUGCAUACAAGAAUUAAUAAAAAUGUUAUAACGAAUUUAAUUAAAUGUUUUAUCAUUAUAUAUAAAGAAUUUAUGGCAAGAUAAAGUUAUAUACAACCUCAACUCAUAUGGGACUACCCCCUGAAUUUAAGCAUAUUAAUUAGGGGAGGAAAAGAAACUAACAAGGAUUUUCUUAGUAGCGGCGAGCGAAAAGAAAACAGUUCAGCACUAAGUCACUUUGUCUAUAUGGCAAAUGUGAGAUGCAGUGUAUGGAGCGUCAAUAUUCUAGUAUGGAGAAAUUAACGAUUUAAGUCCUUCUUAAAUGAGGCCAUUUACCCAUAGAGGGUGCCAGCCCGUAUAACGUUAAUGAUUACUAGAUGAUGUUUCCAAAGAGUCGUGUUGCUUGAUAGUGCAGCACUAAGUGGGUGGUAACUCCAUCUAAAACUAAAUAUAACCAUGAGACCGAUAGUAAACAAGUACCGUGAGGGAAAGUUGAAAAGAACUCUGAAUAGAGAGUUAAACAGUACGUGAAACUGCUUAAGAGGUUAAGCCCGAUGAACCUGAAUAUCCGUUAUGGAAAAUUCAUCAUUUAAAAUUGUAAUAUUUAAAUAAUAUUAUGAGAAUAGUGUGCAUUUUUUCCAUAUAAGGACAUUGUAAUCUAUUAGCAUAUACCAAAUUUAUCAUAAAAUAUAACUUAUAGUUUAUUCCAAUUAAAUUGCUUGCAUUUUAACACAGAAUAAAUGUUAUUAAUUUGAUAAAGUGCUGAUAGAUUUAUAUGAUUACAGUGCGUUAAUUUUUCGGAAUUAUAUAAUGGCAUAAUUAUCAUUGAUUUUUGUGUUUAUUAUAUGCACUUGUAUGAUUAACAAUGCGAAAGAUUCAGGAUACCUUCGCGGACCCGUCUUGAAACACGGACCAAGGAGUCUAACAUAUGUGCAAGUUAUUGGGAUAUAAACCUAAUAGCGUAAUUAACUUGACUAAUAAUGGGAUUAGUUUUUUAGCUAUUUAUAGCUAAUUAACACAAUCCCGGGGCGUUCUAUAUAGUUAUGUAUAAUGUAUAUUUAUAUUAUUUAUGCCUCUAACUGGAACGUACCUUGAGCAUAUAUGCUGUGACCCGAAAGAUGGUGAACUAUACUUGAUCAGGUUGAAAGUCAGGGGAAACCCUGAUGGAAGACCGAAACAGUUCUGACGUGCAAAUCGAUUGUCAGAAUUGAGUAUAGGGGCGAAAGACCAAUCGAACCAUCUAGUAGCUGGUUCCUUCCGAAGUUUCCCUCAGGAUAGCUGGUGCAUUUUAAUAUUAUAUAAAAUAAUCUUAUCUGGUAAAGCGAAUGAUUAGAGGCCUUAGGGUCGAAACGAUCUUAACCUAUUCUCAAACUUUAAAUGGGUAAGAACCUUAACUUUUCUGAUAUGAAGUUCAAGGUUAUGAUAUAAUGUGCCCAGUGGGCCACUUUUGGUAAGCAGAACUGGCGCUGUGGGAUGAACCAAACGUAAUGUUACGGUGCCCAAAUUAACAACUCAUGCAGAUACCAUGAAAAGGCUUGGUUGCUUAAAACCAGCAGGACGGUGAUCAUGGAAGUCGAAAUCCCGCUAAGGAGUGUGUAACAACUCACCUGCCGAAGCAACUAGCCCUUAAAAUGGAUGGCGCUUAAGUUGUAUACCUAUACAUUACCGCUAAAGUAGAUGAUUUAUAUUACUUGUGAUAUAAAUUUUGAAACUUUAAGUGAGUAGGAAGGUACAAUGGUAUGCGUAGAAGUGUUUGGCGUAAAGCCUGCAUGGAGCUGCCAUUUGUACAGAUCUUGGUGGUAGUAGCCAAAUAAUCGAAUGAGACCUUGGAGGACUGAAGUGGGAGAAGGGUUUCGUGUGAACAGUGGUUGAUCACGAGUUAAGUCCGGUCCUAAGUUCAAGGCGAAAGCCGAAAAUUUUCAAGGUAAAAACAAAAAUGCCUAACUAUAUAAACAAAGCGAAUUAUAAUACACUUGAAUAAUUUUGAACGAAAGGGAAUACGGUUCCAAUUCCGUAACCUGUUGAGUAUCCGUUUGUUAUUAAAUAUGGGCCUCGUGCUCAUCCUGGCAACAGGAACGACCAUAAAGAAGCCGUCGAGAGAUAUCGGAAGAGUUUUCUUUUCUGUUUUAUAGCCGUACUACCAUGGAAGUCUUUCGCAGAGAGAUAUGGUAGAUGGGCUAGAAGAGCAUGACAUAUACUGUUGUGUCGAUAUUUUCUCCUCGGACCUUGAAAAUUUAUGGUGGGGACACGCAAACUUCUCAACAGGCCGUACCAAUAUCCGCAGCUGGUCUCCAAGGUGAAGAGUCUCUAGUCGAUAGAAUAAUGUAGGUAAGGGAAGUCGGCAAAUUAGAUCCGUAACUUCGGGAUAAGGAUUGGCUCUGAAGAUUGAGAUAGUCGGGCUUGAUUGGGAAACAAUAACAUGGUUUAUGUGCUCGUUCUGGGUAAAUAGAGUUUCUAGCAUUUAUGUUAGUUACUUGUUCCCCGGAUAGUUUAGUUACGUAGCCAAUUGUGGAACUUUCUUGCUAAAAUUUUUAAGAAUACUAUUUGGGUUAAACCAAUUAGUUCUUAUUAAUUAUAACGAUUAUCAAUUAACAAUCAAUUCAGAACUGGCACGGACUUGGGGAAUCCGACUGUCUAAUUAAAACAAAGCAUUGUGAUGGCCCUAGCGGGUGUUGACACAAUGUGAUUUCUGCCCAGUGCUCUGAAUGUCAAAGUGAAGAAAUUCAAGUAAGCGCGGGUCAACGGCGGGAGUAACUAUGACUCUCUUAAGGUAGCCAAAUGCCUCGUCAUCUAAUUAGUGACGCGC